rnacentral:rRNA from 1 species
ACGAACGCUGGCGGCGUGCUUCACACAUGCACGUCGAACGGAAAGGCCCUGCUUUUGUGGGGUGCUCGAGUGGCGAACGGGUGAGUAACACGUGAGUAACCUGCCCUUGACUUUGGGAUAACUUCAGGAAACUGGGGCUAAUACCGGAUAGGAGCUCCUGCUGCAUGGUGGGGGUUGGAAAGUUUCGGCGGUUGGGGAUGGACUCGCGGCUUAUCAGCUUGUUGGUGGGGUAGUGGCUUACCAAGGCUUUGACGGGUAGCCGGCCUGAGAGGGUGACCGGCCACAUUGGGACGGAGAUACGGCCCAGACUCCUACGGGAGGCAGCAGUGGGGAAUAUUGCACAAUGGGCGGAAGCCUGAUGCAGCAACGCCGCGUGCGGGAUGACGGCCUUCGGGUUGUAAACCGCUUUCGCCUGUGACGAAGCGUGAGUGACGGUAAUGGGUAAAGAAGCACCGGCUAACUACGUG